UGGGGGAUAUUGCACAAUGGGCGAAAGCCUGAUGCAGCGACGCCGCGUGGGGGAUGAAGGCUUUCGGGUUGUAAACCUCUUUCGCUAUCGAACAAGGCCCGCUUAGGGUGGGUUGAGGGUAGGUGGAGAAGAAGCGCCGGCUAACUACGUGCCAGCAGCCGCGGUAAUACGUAGGGCGCGAGCGUUGUCCGGAAUUAUUGGGCGUAAAGGGCUUGUAGGCGGCUUGUUGCGCCUGCUGUGAAAACGCGGGGCUUAACUUCGCGCGUGCAGUGGGUACGGGCAGGCUUGAGUGUGGUAGGGGUGACUGGAAUUCCAGGUGUAGCGGUGGAAUGCGCAGAUAUCUGGAGGAACACCGAUGGCGAAGGCAGGUCACUGGGCCAUUACUGACGCUGAGGAGUGAAAGCAUGGGUAGCGAACAGG
rnacentral:rRNA from 1 species